rnacentral:rRNA from 1 species
CAGCACCUCAAGUGGUCAGGAUGAUUAUUGGGCCUAAAGCAUCCGUAGCCGGCGCUGUAAGUUUUCGGUUAAAUCUGUACGCUCAACGUACAGGCUGCCGGGAAUACUGCAGCGCUAGGGAGUGGGAGAGGUAGACGGUACUCGGUAGGAAGGGGUAAAAUCCGUUGAUCUAUUGAUGACCACCUGUGGCGAAGGCGGUCUACCAGAACACGUCCGACGGUGAGGGAUGAAAGCUGGGGGAGCAAACCGGAUUAGAGACCCGAGUAGUCC